GAUGAACGCUGGCGGCGUGCCUAAUACAUGCAAGUCGAACGAAGCGGGGAGGGGUGUGAAACACGUGGAUAACCUCCUCUAUAAAUGGGAUCACUUCGGGAAACCGGAGCUAAACCGGAUACUUAUAGAUGGAUCUGCGCGGUAUUAGCUAGUUGGUAAGGUAACGGCUUACCAAGGCAACGAUGCAUAGCCGACCUGAGAGGGUGAGCGGCAACACGGGAACUGGGACACGGUCCAGACUCCUACGGGAGGCAGCAGUAGGGAAUCUGCCGCAAGGGGCGAAAGCCUGACCGAGCAAAGCCGCGUGAGUGAAGAAGGUUUUCGGAGCGUAAAGCACUGUUGUUAGAGAAGCGGUAUCUAACCAGUAAGCCACGGCUAACUACGUGCCAGCAGCCGCGGUAAUUC
rnacentral:rRNA from 1 species